UUUUUUUCCAUGAAAUUUUGCUUCUUUUUGUGUAAUAACUUUUGAACCGGGAAUAAUUUGGUAAGAAAUAUAAAACAAAAGUCGUGCAUAAUUACGAGAGCUUUCAUAUAAGAUCAAGGAAAAGGGGCUGGCCCCUAUAAUUAGGGGUUAAUAGCUCAUACACGUUUUUUUCUGAUAGCUAAAAAUAUUGGCAUAUUAUGAAAAAGUUUGACUGAAAUGAUUUCGAACUUAUUAAAUCUUGUCAUUUGAUAUUAAAAGAAAUAAACUUCAAGCUGUAUUUAAUUGUUUUUAAUAAAACAAUGUGAGAAAAUGUGAGAAACCUUUCAGGAACAAGUUGUCUACUAUAAGCCAUCCAAGCCUUUACUGCAUGUGCACAGUUUUAGUUGAUGCAUCUGAAAGAUAUAGUUUUGAUACGGUGUUUCUCUGUUUUCUUUUUAUUCAAAUAAUUUUAAAAUGUGGUGAUGUACACAACAAUAAUUAGUUUAGAGGAUUUUUUUCGGGGUCUCUUGUUUGUAAACAACGCGCGGCAUUGUGGGAAAUAGGAAAGUACUAAAGACGCGGUGUACUAAAACUUAUUUGACCUGAUUCAAAAUUGUCUGUAAAUGUUCCAAACAAUUGAAUUUUUGUAUAGCAUAAUGCAUCAAGGUCAUAAAGUCUUUACCUAAGUAAUUUAAAAAACUCAAUAUUAUCAUUUAAUUAAAAAUUAAAACGUCAGGUAAACAUCAGGUCUUUAGUAUAUCCCGUUUUUAGUGUGCCCCUUCGAGUCGACGUCGGACACAUGUUUACAAACUGAAAAUAGAAAUGAUUUGUGAAGUUGAACAUUUUCUCACCAUAGAAGCCGUAUGUAGACAUGCACGCACAUUUAAUCUGCAGCUACGAAGUACUUUGUCACUCCUCUGGAACAUUAUUCUAAACAGAUUUAUCCCGAUUCAUAUAUUCUAAGAAUCUUGUGUGAAUUGUUUAUGAGGAAAUUCCGACUGUCACAUUAACAAGGAUGAACACUCUUGACUCUGCUUCGGAUUUCCCAGUGAUAAUUGUAUCUAGUAAUGAAAGAGCUGACGGCGACAUUUUAAUGUAUGAUUGGCCUUGACCAUUGGAAUGAAGUUAUUUUAUGGUGCCACCACUUGGGAUAGUAUUAACUGCAAAUAAAGACUUGUACUCAGCACUUAUUGCCUUUGAGAAGUAUGGGAUCCUUUUUGUGCCAACACCUACCGUGACACAGAAUCUUGGUUUUUACAGUCUCAUCGGCGUAUCCUGUCUCAAGCAUUUAGCAAUGGGAUUGGAACCUGCGACGUGUGACUGUGACUGUCAUCUGAGUACUGAAAUUUGCUGCCACGCAUGAUCCUGAUUUGCCAGAAGAGCAUCUGUUUGGAGAUCAGAUGACAAAGUAUAAACAGCGUAAUGAAAUUGAAACUGUCAUGUGAAACAGUCUCAGUUUAGGAAGAUGACUUUAAAUAUAGCAUAUUCGAAUUUUGAUUUGAGAAAAAGACAUAAAUCCACAAUUUGACAAA